GCCCUCAGGAUGAUGAUGAACUUGUUAAAUACAUUAUUACUGGACUAGAUCAUGGUCUCAACACAAUUGUGUCUUCAGUUCUAAUUAGAACGAAUUCAAUCUUAGUGAGUGAAUUGUAUUCACAGAUGCUUGUCUUUGAGU
rfam:Zea mays cultivar B73 chromosome 5, whole genome shotgun sequence.